rnacentral:rRNA from 2 species
AGCUCCAAUAGCGUAUAUUAAAGUUGUUGCGGUUAAAAAGCUCGUAGUUGGAUUUCUGCUGAAGCAAACCGGUCCGCCCUCUGGGUGAGCAUCUGGUUUUGCUUUGGCAUAUGCUUAGACUUUGCAGCUGCACUUGACUGUGUGGUGUAAAGGCUGAGCCUUUUACUUUGAGGAAAUCAGAGUGUUUCAAGCAGGCCAUCGCCUUGAAUACACUAGCAUGGAAUAAUAUGAUAUGACUGUGGUUUUAUUUUGUUGGCUUUUAGAAUUAGAGUAAUGGUUAAUAGGGAUAGUUGGGGGCAUUCAUAUUUAACUGUCAGAGGUGAAAUUCUUGGAUUUGUUAAGGAUGAACGACUGCGAAAGCAUUUGCCAAGGAUGCUUUCAUUG